AUGAAUUGUGCCCCUCCUCUGUCAUUUCUCUCUCUUCCUUACCGGUUCCCAGCUCCUCCUCUUCAGUCUUCACUAAUACAUCGACACCAUCCAGCAUCCCAUAUACAUCCUUCCACCGCCGCUCCAGCCAUCUUUUUGUUAUCUUUGUCCGGCUGCUACCUCCUACCUCGCUCGACAUAUAUGUUGCACUGUUGUCGAUGGAGCGGCGUCAAACACCCUCCCAGCUGUGCAUCAAGGGCGAGCCCUCGCGAUGUCCACGUCGGCAACGGUACAAGACAAAAAGGUUCCCUUCGCCGAGAAGAAAGAGAGAAAGAGAUUGGCCAGCAGCGUAGCCCCCAGUCCCCAUCCCCAAUUCCUCUCCCUCUCCCUUUCCCUCGUCUGCCGCCGCCAGCCCCACCGCCGCCCUCCCCGCAGCCGCCGCCACCACCGGCGCCCAGGUGUGGCGCUGCUCUUCCCCACGGUCCUGACGGCAAGGCGGCGACAAGAGUUAGAAGGCGGACGCGGACAGCCCCGUCAGAUCUCGUCCCAAUGAAGUCAAGGACGAGCUCCACCCGGACGAUGUCGAUCCGCCCCCCUGCCACACUUCUCCAUCGCGUCACCAUAUUCGGAGGAGCCGCGACUUCUGCUCGCGCAUCUGCUCCUCCCGAAGUUGUCGCCAUCGGCAGGAGGAGUGCCGGACCGCGCGCCAACUCGAGGACCGCCGCUCCGGCGGACCGUUGUUUCUGGCCGCCGUCCGCCUCUGGUGCCCGGCACAGGAGCUUCCCGGCGCAGGUCAUCUUCCUCUCCUUUGUCCUCCCCCAUUCCCCUCCUAGACACUCGUUGAUUAAGAGAGCAGUUGGUGGUAGGAAGGACAGAGGACGCGGAGAACUCAUGGUUAGGUGUACGGCGAGGGGAGGAGGAGGAAGCACUUCUCUGACAAGAUCCAUAGCCACCACUUCAUCAUCGGCGGCAACCCUCUGUAUUUCCAAUGAUGAAUUGUGUCACGGGAGCCGAUACGGCGGCAGACACAAGCAGAGCAAAGCGAAGCCGGCGCGACGGCCGGGCCCUCCAAGCACACAACCACUGCCUCCUCGCCAAAAUACGCUAGCCUGCAUCUACAAGGAAAAAAAGGAACUUGCCCGUAUGGUGUUCACUAAAAAGAAGAAUCUGCUAAAAGGUUGGUCCAUGCUUAUCUUCACUGAUUACAUCUUCUUCGUGGUUGGAUGUGGGCUGUACGUGGACAUGAACUUGUUCCUGGGAUUCAGAAGGGAGCACGUGCCAUGGAACUUCAAGAAGACGGAGAACCAUGUGUACCUCCAUGUCGUGCUUUGGCAGAAGCUGGAUGCCGACGAGUCAGAACCUGCUGAAGAAGCCACUCUGCUCACCAUUGUCUCAUCAACUAUGAAUAUGGUGUAUGGUGUACUCACAUCCAUGCCAUCUAUUGCCACAUUUGCAGACUUUGACAGUUUUGGUGUUGCACCUAUAUACUACAUGCUGAACAAGUUUCAGAUUGAGGAGAGCCUGCUUAUGGGCUACGAUUUCGACUACGAGGAUUCCACGCCAGCGUGCACGAUAUUCACCAACUCUGACGAGGCUCACGCGGCCGCCCUCCUCUUGGUUAACUAA
rnacentral:rRNA from 1 species